GGCCGAUGAUAGAGCACACAAUCCAGCACACAAUCCUCUCUGCAAUGUCAUGACAGCUACUGUAAGCUUCAUAGGUGGUCAUAGAUAAAAGGAAAGCCAUUAAUUAUUUUUAUCUUCAGCUGGCAGGCAUGCAUAGCUUCCGGGGUUUACAGCCAAGUCUCUAUCAGACUUGAUCUCCCGUUCUCCUGCACAUAGCAUAUGCUAAGUACUGUCCCCACUUCCUAUGGGUUGUUCUCAUCUAGCUGUUACUAGAGACAAUUUUUCCCUAACAAUGGGCACUGGACAACAGAAUGGCCAAGAUUUUAGAACAGUUUGUUUGAGGUUAGGAGUCAGUAAAUUAAAUGAUUUUUAAAUGUAUUAGGAAGCACAUCAGCUAUCAAUUAUAGUGAAUUUGUUUGAAAUGACAAUGGCAAUGAAGAAAGAUUUCAGCACUAACUUGUGAAUAAGUCAUUGUCUUUUUUCAUGUGAAUAUGCACGGCUAUAUAGGAACAUGCGCAUGCACAGGCAGUUUACAUACAGAUCUCACAUGACUGUUUUCAGCAGUCAGAGCUCAGGACAUGAGAGCCGUAUGUAAACUGUUAGCGCAUGCGCUCUAGGGACAGAGCGCAGCGCUCACGUGACAUGCAACUCAUGUCACUAGGAUGUGGAGUUGCAGAAUAUGAAUAUGCUAUCUAACUAAGGGGACGGCUGAUUGAGAAGACGGAAAGAACAGGGGCGGCCAGCCGGAGGGGCCCUGCCUCCUGCACACGACUCCCUGAAUUCAGAAGAGGAACUUCGCCAGCCAAUAUUUUUGGAACCACAGCGUCUAUUAUAUGCUCUCUCAGAGGCCGGAAGAAGCAUACAUCUACUGUGCGAAAACAUCUGUUAGGCUCUGAGCACCCGGCAUCAAUGAAGUCUCCCUGCCGGAACAGACUGUCCGCAAGAUAGAGUCUACAGGAGCGCUUUAUCAGGCACUACUUCCCCCCACUUCACUGCCAACAGCUAUUUCUUCAUCUUCAGGACAGUAUCAUA